CAGCACCUCAAGUGGUCAGGAUGAUUAUUGGGCCUAAAGCAUCCGUAGCCGGCGCUGUAAGUUUUCGGUUAAAUCUGUACGCUCAACGUACAGGCUGCCGGGAAUACUGCAGCGCUAGGGAGUGGGAGAGGUAGACGGUACUCGGUAGGAAGGGGUAAAAUCCUUUGAUCUAUUGAUGACCACCUGUGGCGAAGGCGGUCUACCAGAACACGUCCGACGGUGAGGGAUGAAAGCUGGGGGAGCAAACCGGAUUAGAUACCCGAAUAGUCC
rnacentral:rRNA from 1 species